AAAUGGACUCUCAGCAACGGAUAUCUUGGCUCUKGCAACGA
rnacentral:rRNA from 1 species